AACGAACGCUGGCGGCAUGCCUAACACAUGCAAGUCGAACGAGACCUUCGGGUCUAGUGGCGCACGGGUGCGUAACGCGUGGGAAUCUGCCCUUGGGUUCGGAAUAACAGUUAGAAAUGCCUGCUAAUACCGGAUGAUGAUGUCGGUCCAAAGAUUUAUCGCCCAGGGAUGAGCCCGCGUAGGAUUAGCUUGUUGGUGAGGUAAAAGCUCACCAAGGCGACGCUCCUUAGCUGGUCUGAGAGGAUGAUCAGCCACACUGGGACUGAGACACGGCCCAGACUCCUACGGGAGGCAGCAGUGGGGAAUAUUGGACAAUGGGCGAAAGCCUGAUCCAGCAAUGCCGCGUGAGUGAUGAAGGUCUUAGGGUUGUAAAGCUCUUUUACCCGGGAUGAUAAUGACAGUACCGGGAGAAUAAGCCCCGGCUAACUCCGUGCCAGCCGCCGCAGUAAUAC
rnacentral:rRNA from 1 species